GGUCCCAUCGUCUAGGGGUUAGGACAUAGCCCUCUCAAGGCUAAGGCAGGGGUUCAAUUCCCCUUGGGACUA
rfam:Elusimicrobia bacterium RIFOXYB2_FTLL_49_7 rifoxyb2_full_scaffold_1384, whole genome shotgun sequence.